AAAUUGAAGAGUUUGAUCAUGGCUCAGAUUGAACGCUGGCGGCAGGCCUAACACAUGCAAGUCGAGCGGUAGCACAGAGAGCUUGCUCUCGGGUGACGAGCGGCGGACGGGUGAGUAAUGUCUGGGAAACUGCCUGAUGGAGGGGGAUAACUACUGGAAACGGUAGCUAAUACCGCAUAACGUCGCAAGACCAAAGUGGGGGACCUUCGGGCCUCAUGCCAUCAGAUGUGCCCAGAUGGGAUUAGCUAGUAGGUGGGGUAAUGGCUCACCUAGGCGACGAUC
rnacentral:rRNA from 1 species